UACGGGGGGGAGCAAGCGUUGUUCGGAUUUACUGGGCGUAAAGGGCGCGUAGGCGGCCACAACAAGUCACUUGUGAAAUCUCCGGGCUUAACCCGGUAGCGGCCAAGUGAUACUGUUGGGCUAGAGUGCGGAAGGGGCAACUGGAAUUCUCGGUGUAGCGGUGAAAUGCGUAGAUAUCGAGAGGAACACCUGCGGCGAAGGCGGGUUGCUGGGCCGACACUGACGCUGAGGCGCGAAAGUGUGGGGAGCGAACAGG
rnacentral:rRNA from 1 species